CAACACGUUUUACAUCAGGUGUUCUUUUCGCAAAAUACCUUAUAAUUGCUGAAUUUUAUGACUUGGCUUUAGACUUGCUUAAUCACCGUCCAAUAUUAGCGACAAUGACGUUUUAUGGUGGUGACUCUCUUUUGAGUGAAAUAACCAGAAAGCCAUCUGCAUUUCCAAGUGGAGGAACAAGAAAGCUACCGUUUCGGGAAUACUUUCGCUUUUCUAAGG